rnacentral:rRNA from 1 species
UCCCAGACUCCUACGGGAGGCAGCAGUGGGGAAUAUUGCACAAUGGGGGGAACCCUGAUGCAGCGACGCCGCGUGGGUGAAGGAGCACCUCGGUGCGUAAAGCCCUAUCGGCAGGGAAGAAACAGACGGUACCUGACUAAGAAGCCCCGGCUAACUACGUGCCAGCAGCCGCGGUAAUACGGGGGGUGCAAGCGUUGUCCGGAAUCAUUGGGCGUAAAGCGUUCGUAGGCGGUAUGUCAAGUCUGAUGUUAAAGCCCGGGGCUCAACUCCGGUUCGGCAUUGGAUACUGGCAAACUAGAAUGUGGUAGAGGUAAAGGGAAUUCCUGGUGUAGCGGUGAAAUGCGUAGAUAUCAGGAGGAACAUCGGUGGCGAAAGCGCUUUACUGGACCAUUAUUGACGCUGAGGAACGAAAGCCAGGGGAGCAAAUGGGAUUAGAUACCCUCGUA